GUCGUACUCCCUCUGUUCGGAAUUAGUUGUCGUAGAAAUGGAUGUAUCUAGAUGUAUUUUAGUUCUAGAUACAUCCAUUUCCGAGACAAGUAAUUCCGAACGGAGGGAGUACUUC
rnacentral:pre_miRNA from 1 species